CCGUUCUCAGUUCGGAUCGGAGUCUGCAACCCGACUCCGUGAAGCUGGAUUCGCUAGUAAUCGCGCAUCAGCCAUGGCGCGGUGAAUACGUUCCCGGGCCUUGUACACACCGCCCGUCAAGCCAUGGGAGCCGGGGGUGCUUGAAGUGCGUCGCCGCAAGGCGCGCCCUAGAGCAAAACCGGUGACUGGGGCUAAGUCGUAACAAGGUACC
rnacentral:rRNA from 1 species